rnacentral:piRNA from 1 species
UUGCAUUUAUAAAUGUAUACGCUUUUAAA